CGCUGAUUGGUCGGCGGACCGGACUCGCGGCUUCUCAUCAGAUCAGUCUUCAAUAAUCAGUCAUGAUCCGAGCUCCACGUGCGCCUGAGACGUGGACCGGGACCCGACGGGACGCUCCACGCGGACGUGUCCGCGGGGCGACCAGGUGAGCCGUAGGGUUCCCAGGACCCACUUCCGGUGUUUCUGUGUGUUUUAUUUCUCUGCUCGUGUUGGUGAAUAUUCUGCAGAUUUAAAUGAUGUAAGUCAGGACAUGCGUGACGUCAUUCACAGACUCGGCGCUACAUCAUAAAUAAUCCUUCCGGUCGCUUUAGUGUCGUUGUGUAAGUGUCGCGUUUAUGUCUCAGUGACCGUGCGUGGAUCUACAACAGCUGCUGUGCGGCUCCGCCUGUGGUCCACGCGUGGUCACCGCGUCCCACCCUGCUGUCUGCUGCUAACACCUGGGUGUAUUUGACACACUCGUGUUUUAGUUUCUUUUUCUCUGUCACAUAGAGCAGGGCAGAUAAAAUAUUUAUCACCAUAUACAUUUGAAAAUGUGCGAUAACGAUAUAACUGACGAUAUAAUUGACACUGGACAAAAUACUUUACAACUCCUCAACUUUAUUAGUGCAAAACCAUCAAUGUAUGUUCACUUAAUCAACCAGCUGUUUUUUUUAAUCUGCAUUAAAGUUAUAUAAACAUUUAACAGUGCAAAUUGCUCGCUAACAGUUUAACCAAAAGGCAUUUCCAGUGGAAACCGGCCGACAUAUCCUCAGCAUAACCAUGUACAACAUCCACAAACCUUAAAAAGAGGCUCUACACACACAAUACAGUAAUAGACCCUGUGCACGAGACAAUGCUAACUUCCUGGUUUGAGACCGGAUGUGGGGUUGUACAUUUCCGGUAGCUUUACUUUGCGGUCAAUCGCUACUGCGAAGAUAUAUCCUCCACAAUCAUGUCCAAAACUCUAAAACGGAAAGAUGGUGUUAAGUUACAAAGAGAAGGUGGGAACGCUCACCGCUGCUGUGUCAUAAAAAAUCUAAUGAUCAGUUUAAAGAGUUUAGAUCGAUCAGCUGUUUACUUCACUCAACACAAGCAGAACUGCAUCGCUGCAGCAGAAGACACAUCGUCCACAUGCAGAAGCACAUCUCUGUGUAGUGACUGGUCUCAUGAUCUAAACAGGCAAAUGUUCAGCAUUCAAACUACAGGUGAAGAACAGUCAAACCAGAUGUUUCCCCGUUAUGUCGAGAUCAGCUCGUCAAGUACACACCUACACCUCCUUCUUGAGCUCUCAGCGAAGGCGGUCGCACUUUCUCCUCUCCUCCUCACCCUUAUCUUCCCUGCUUCGCCUCUAUGUCCUUGUCUUGUCUUGUGUGAAUUUACUUUCCCUGGAACAGUCUCUCACUGUCGUUCUCUAAACCUAAAAGAGAAUUAUGGAUUUGAUCAAAAGACUGACAACACCACGGAACAGAAGUUUGAUACCAUCAUGGGGAGGCUCGCAGCUCUUCAACGGGAGCUCGAGAGACCAGCCUCGGAGUGCUAGAAUUCGAGCUGCUCACAAAGGAGAAAUCAACAAUAUUCAACAUUUGGACACCACGGCGCCAGCUGCAGGCCCAAGGCUGGAGCCCACCAAAACAACUCCCUGAUAACGACUGUGUGAUGACUAUUCUUCCCGCCCCAUGAAGGACACCUGGAUUGGCUGGAGGACUGUUUACUUAGCCUGAUAGGCCGAAGGACACUGUCUCAGCUAAACUAUGGACACGCACACACACACACUUACACUGAUAAGCACUCACUCAUCCCCCUCCCUUUCCAACGCCUUCGAUGCUUGUGCCCUACCGGGGAUGAUAGCAGUCAACUGGACCAGCACAGAUGCUGCAGGACCGGAUGCGCUGUCUACGCCGGCUCUCUCUUACCCUUUACCCGCCCCUGUUGCUUGUCUCGUGUUUCUAUGGUGUAUUGAUAGUCAUGUGCUUUUGUGCUGAGGUGUUUUUUCUGUUAUCAAACUGUUCUUCCACCAGGAGCUCAGUCUGAGUGGAGUUUUUUUUUCUCCUCCUCUCACCUCAUGUAGUGUAUUUUCGUUGUUUUUUUCCUAUCAGCCUACCUUUCUGACAUGUCUGCCCAAUGUGAUGUUUGUGUAAAGUUGGUCAGAAGGUUCCUUUGUGAGUGCGCAUGCGCCAUUAGCGUGCUGCCUGCUGUAACCCUAAUUUCCCUCGGGAUGAAUAAAGUAUUCUGAUUCUGAUUCUGAUACACAGCAUGUUAACAAACCGUGAAAAAAGCCACACAAAAAACGAAUGACUGCUGGUAACGGUUUCUAUACAUUAGUAUGUAGGAAGGGUAUGUUGUGACUUACCUUCAAAAUUACAGCGGUCCCUCGCUAUAACGCGCUUCACCUUUCACCUCGCUGUUUCAGAUUUUUUAGUGCAAGUUUGCUUAUUUUUACAGCACAUUGUGUCCUGCGUCCUGAUCGCUGCAGACGAUCUCCUCUGUCUCUCCUGUACAGCACAGAAUUGCUGCAUCGAUGCUAGCAGUGUGACUCUGCAGUGCAGUGCUGUAUGUCCACGAUGUCCACCAAACGUUUUGCAUCGUCAAAAAUAAAAUCGGCUCCUUGAUUUCACCUCUCGCUGGUUAUUUUUAGAACAUAACACCCGCGAUAAACGAGGGACAGCUGAGAAAUAUAACAUUUGAAUCCCUUUUCUCUUUUGCUCUGAGGCGCGGGGGAAAUAUCAACAAGUCGAUGAACAUCAUUUACAGAUAUGUUGGGUAAAUGCCCGAGACAUCUAUAGAAAUGUAAAUCGCCGCUUGAUUCAUUUGCUUAACUUGUUUUGGACCGUAAACCAGGCGCGAAUAGGACACCGGAAACACAGCUCCCCACAGGAGUUUCCACACCGGAAGUAGCAUAUGCUAACGUGCACAUAGUCUAUAUUAUGUUGAAGCACACUACGUAUCACUCCGCGAGGCUCCGCCUACGAUAGCCGUAACGCUCCAACAAUCCAUCAAGCGGUGCGGCUUCGUAGCUCAGCAAAGUCGUACUGAAACAUCUGACAGAUUUUCGAGCACCGUGCACAUAAAAUCGUUUCGAGGUCAGUAAACACAACCAGAGUUCAUACAUAAGGCACACGGGAUUAUAAGGGGCUCUGUCGACUUUUCAGAUUUUAAGUGCGCCGUAUUUUCCAAACAACACGGUAAUAACGGCGGCCCGCUAGCAUGCUCCACCAAAAAUAGUGCUUUGUUGUGUAUCUGACGGACGAAAGCUAAACCAGUUCCACACCAGUGAAGCUGCAGCAUUUUUACAAACCAGUUCUGGUUCAUCCGUUUCAUUCAACGAUCCACUUUCGUCCUCCUCAUUCUGCGUCGCCGCCAUGAUUUUUCCGCCGUGUGCGUAUGAAAACAAAGGCACUGCGCAUGCACGUUUUACCCAUAUUCUAUCGCCAUGUUUCAUUUUCCUAUCAUUGCCCAACAUGACACCGGUGCUACCGUGAGCGGUAUGAUAAGAUAAGAUAACUUUUAUUAGUCCCACACGUGGGAAAUUUGUUUUGUCACAGCAGGAAGUGGACAGUGCAAAAGUUAUGAAGCAAAAAUUAGAAUACAAUAAGAAUAAAUACAGUACAGAAUAGAAUAGAAUAAAUACUAUAUACAUUAGAAUAAAAUAGAAUAAAAUAUACAAUAAGAUAAAAAUAGAAUACAAAUGCUAUACAACUGAGUAAAAAUACGAUGCCAGAAAAGUAUUGCACAUGUGUGGAUGUGUUUGAUCAGUUAAAGUCUUUGUUGUGGAGUCUGACAGCAGUGGGGAGGAAAGACCUGCGAAAUCUCUCCGUCCCACACCGUGGGUGCCGCAGUCUCCCACUGAAGGAGCUGCUCAGUGCUGUCACAGUCUGCUGCAUGGGGUGGGAGAUGUUGUCCAUCAGGGAUGACAGCUUAGCCGCCGUUCUCCUGUCACUCACCACCUCCACUGGGUCCAGAGGGCCUCCUAGAACAGAGCUGGCCUAGCCCUACUGUCACAGUUCAGCGUUGUUUGUCCGUCGCUUCUCCCGCCCUGAUCUCUGUCCUUCAGUCCAGCGUCAGUAAUGGAAAUGAACCAACGGGCUGUCCGGCUCACAGCAGGUAAUCUGCCUGGUAUGCCAGAUUACCCGUCCGGUGCCGGGAGGCAGACGGCUUGAGUGGAGGCUGACGGAGAGGCGAGUUUCCUAAAAGAGAUCAGCCUUGCGAUGUUACCGCACUUCACUGAGGCUCAGCCUUCAGCAGGUGUUUUGGAGACUGCUGAUCAGAAUUAUUGAUGGUUACAGAUGUAAAAAGGACCCCGUGGGUCUCUGUGUCACAGUGUACUGUAAUCCAGAUGUGACAGUAGCGAAGGUGUCCAGCAGGUGUGGCUGUGGAGCUGCUGUCAGGUGCAGUUCUGCCUCAGCGUCUCAGGCCCUCACAAACACAAACACUGUAGCUCCCUAACAACUGAAACCAUGUUGUGGACUCAGCUAAACUACAUUUAUUGUUUUUAUUUGUUAAUUUGAUAAAAUUCCUUUAUGGGCGUGUUUAUUGUGUUCGAAUAUCUUUGCUGCAUUUUAUAAAUCUGGCGUUUGUCAUAAAUACAGUGAUAUUGGAAAAAAGACAAACGAAUGAAAAGCCACUCUGGAAACCUGCUGAAGCUGAAGCUCAAAAUGAAGACUAGUAAGAAAAUAGGGGGCGGGGCUUUAUUCAUGUUUGAAUGCCUUUGAGACUCCGAACGUUUAUUUCAGUUUUUCUUUGCUGACUCUGCAGACUGUAAUGGAGGCUCCGGCCAGCAGGGGGCAGCAGGGGGCAGCAGGUGGUUUUACCUGAAGUCAUUACAGCUGAAGUUCUGUGUCUGUGAAUGAUGCAUGCUGGGAAAACGGACCGAGAGCCGCUGUGACAUCGGCACAGGUGAGCGGGUGGGUGGGAUUCUGGGACGUGCUCAGACUGAGGUGUGUCACAUGACCCUGCUGCUCUACAGGGUCCACCUCACUCAGCUGAGAGCAGGAAACGAAGCAGGAGCCGGGGAGUCUGCUCGUCCUCAGUGUUUACAUGAAACUAAUAAUACGAUUGUCAAUAAUCAAUGAACCAAUGUCUCUGACUCCUCUUAAAUCUGACUUCUUUAAAGUUCACCCAAAAACACUAAACCUCCACCGUCAAAUGUCGCUCUGCCUGGAAGUGAUGUAAUAAAAGGCCGACUGAAGCCCCUCCCACAGCAGUCUGUUCACAGAGGGGAGGGGCCGUGACAAAACCGGACUGAAGCGUACUCUGAUCCAGGCGGCACGUGGCGUCCACGACUUCCACGGAGUCCACGGCUACAAUCUAACCAUCAGUUUGUGUUCUUGCAGGUGGCUCUGCUCUCUGAUUUGAUCCUGAGCUGUGAUGUCAUCGGUGGCGCCUCAGCCACAAAGUUUCCUGACGGCGUCCUGUGUGAGCGCGGUGUCGGGAUGGUCUGUGGCUGUGCCGCAGUAAAGAGGAGGAGUUCUGAUCACGCGCCUCUGCGGUCUGUGAGCUCUGAUCCAGACUCUCCCAGCUGUGUCGUUCCAGCCAGUUUGGGACAAUUUGUUUUUAAUUUGCUGUUUAAAUGUUUUUAAACAGCCAAAUGCAGCAAAUCUCACACUGAUCAAAACUCUGCAAACUAAUGUUCAGUAUAUUUAUUUAUGCAUGGGAAUGAAAAAACUGGAAAUAAAUUAUUAAAUAUAUGAAUGAUUAAAUUACAGUUCUAUUAAUUUGACACACUUGUUCAAAUUUAAAUAGACUGGCGAGGAAAUGAUUAAGACGUAAACCUGAGGGGGGCUAAAUAAGUAUAAACAUAAGUGUAUACUUCUGCCUACUGCUUUUCAAACAGCUGAAUGGAUGAUGUUAUGGACUGUUGGUGAAUGUAUAUGUUCGAAAUAAAAAUGAACUGAACAUUGAAUAAAUUACUGAUUUACAAUUUAAAU
ensembl:lncRNA